rnacentral:rRNA from 1 species
CCCUUAGAGUUUGAUCCUGGCUCAGAAUCAACGCUGGCGGCGUGCCUAACACAUGCAAGUCGCACGAGAAAAUCCCCGCAAGGGGAUGAGUACAGUGGCGUACGGGUGAGUAACACGUGACUAACCUACCCUAAAGUGGGGGAUAACCUCGGGAAACCGGGGCUAAUACCGCAUACUCUCGCGAGGUGAAAUUCCUUGUGAGCAAAGCAGCAAUGCGCUUAUGGAGGGGGUCGCGGCUGAUUAGCUAGUUGGCGGGGUAACGGCCCACCAAGGCGAUGAUCAGUAUCCGGCCUGAGAGGGCGCACGGACACACUGGAACUGAAACACGGUCCAGACUCCUACGGGAGGCAGCAGUGGGGAAUUUUGCGCAAUGGGGGAAACCCUGACGCAGCAACGCCGCGUGGAGGAUGAAGUCCCUUGGGACGUAAACUCCUUUCGAUCGGGACGAUAAUGACGGUACCGGAAGAAGAAGCCCCGGCUAACUUCGUGCCAGCAGCCGCGGUAAUACGAGGGGGGCAAGCGUUGUUCGGAAUUAUUGGGCGUAAAGGGCGCGUAGGCGGUGCGGUAAGUCUGCUGUGAAAUCUCCGGGCUCAACUCGGAGUCUGCAGCGGAAACUGCCGUGCUGGAGUGUGGGAGAGGAGAGUGGAAUUCCCGGUGUAGCGGUGAAAUGCGUAGAUAUCGGGAGGAACACCCGUGGCGAAAGCGGCUCUCUGGACCACUACUGACGCUGAGGCGCGAAAGCUAGGGGAGCAAACAGGAUUAGAUACCCUGGUAGUCCUAGCCCUAAACGAUGGAUGUUUGGGUGUGGCGGGUACCCAAUCCCGCCGUGCCGGAGCUACGCGUUAAACAUCCCGCCUGGGGAG